rnacentral:rRNA from 1 species
GAUGAACGCUGGCGGCGUGCCUAAUACAUGCAAGUCGAGCGAACAGACGAGGAGCUUGCUCCUCUGACGUUAGCGGCGGACGGGUGAGUAACACGUGGAUAACCUACCUAUAAUACUGGGAUAACUUCGGGAAACCGGAUCUAAUACCGGAUAAUAUAUUGAACCGCAUGGUUCAAUAGUGAAAGACGGUUUUGCUGUCACUUAUAGAUGGAUCCGCGCCGCAUUAGCUAGUUGGUAAGGUAACGGCUUACCAAGGCGACGAUGCGUAGCCGACCUGAGAGGGUGAUCGGCCACACUGGAACUGAGACACGGUCUAGACUCCUACGGGAGGCAGCAGUAGGGAAUCUUCCGCAAUGGGCGAAAGCCUGACGGAGCAACGCCGCGUGAGUGAUGAAGGUCUUCGGAUCGUAAAACUCUGUUAUUAGGGAAGAACAAAUGUGUAAGUAACUAUGCACGUCUUGACGGUACCUAAUCAGAAAGCCACGGCUAACUACGUG